rnacentral:rRNA from 1 species
ACGGAGGAUGCGAGCGUUAUCCGGAUUCAUUGGGUUUAAAGGGUGCGUAGGCGGACUAUUAAGUCAGUGGUGAAAUCCUGCAGCUUAACUGCAGAACUGCCAUUGAUACUGAUAGCCUUGAGUUUGGUUAAGGUAGGCGGAAUGUGUAAUGUAGCAGGGAAAUGCGUAGAUAUCUGGCAGAACACCAGUGGCGAAGGCGGCUCACUGAGCCAAAACUGACGCUGAAGCGCGAAAGCGUGGGGAGCGUACAG